UUGAUGCACUUUACUUUACCUGCAGUGAAACCAACCAGCGCCCAAAUGCACAUGUUGAUGAACACGAACUGGAAUUUGACAGAUCAAGGAUGGCCGUGAUCUUGGCUCUUCUUCCAGUUAUGGUGAGACAAAAAAAUGUCGGUUCGUUUCCAGGACAAGCCCGAGAGGAUGGACGGGACGUCGACAAUGGAGAGAGAGAGAUCCAGUUGUCAUGCAUUCCGACAUGAGUAUGCAAAAGUCAAGUGAGGAAUUUGUUUUAAGAGAAGCUCAAUCAUAGGGAGCGUGAUCCAGUAAG
rnacentral:lncRNA from 1 species